rnacentral:misc_RNA from 1 species
GGAUUUUGAAAAUCAUCCAUAGCUCCAGCCAAAGCAGGCACAACUAGAUGGUGAUAUUGAGCCUGCAAAUCUGGGCCUAGGUCAGUAGACAACUGGCCAAUCGCAUUAAUAGCUGCCCAUCGUACACGUGGAUGCGGAUGUUGGAAUGAAUUCAAAACCAUAGAGAGCACUUGCUCAAGAUUCUUUAUCAUUACCUUCGAGCAACCCUCUGCAAUUUGUGAGAGUGCAAUAAGUGCUGCAUGGUGUUUUUGCCAUUCGGGUGCAGCCAAGAAAGCUGGAAACAUCUCGGAGGCAACAGGCACAAUAGAAUUGCCACCCAAUGAAAUAGAAAGUCUAUCCAAACACUCUUGGCCAAACCCAUAAUUGUCACUCUCACCAGCAUCCUCAUCCUCGGUAUCUGCAGUAUGCCAGGCAGGAUCGUCCUCGAUAUCCAACAACAUAUUCAUAAGUAUCCCAAACAACCUACUUAUAAACUGUGGCAACUUCCUC